rnacentral:lncRNA from 1 species
GAGGUGAAGCUUUCAGAUUCAGAACAGGAAUCAAGCUUGUAGCAGUAAAAUCAACCCGAAAACCAUCCAUUUUUGGCAAGUUUGGACUGUCGUGACGAGGAGUGUCGAUCGACACCAUGGUGGUGUCGCUCGACACUGAGCCCGGUGCUCGUGUUUCUGCACUUUUUAUGCAAUUCGUCUCAGCGAUCCUCAUCUCUAUCACAAAAACGUCAUCCUC